AUUGAACGCUGGCGGCAGGCCUAACACAUGCAGGUCGAGCGGAUGAAGGGAGCUUGCUCCUGGAUUCAGCGGCGGACGGGUGAGUAAUGCCUAGGAAUCUGCCUGGUAGUGGGGGAUAACGUCCGGAAACGGGCGCUAAUACCGCAUACGUCCUGAGGGAGAAAGUGGGGGAUCUUCGGACCUCACGCUAUCAGAUGAGCCUAGGUCGGAUUAGCUAGUUGGUGGGGUAAAGGCCUACCAAGGCGACGAUCCGUAACUGGUCUGAGAGGAUGAUCAGUCACACUGGAACUGAGACACGGUCCAGACUCCUACGGGAGGCAGCAGUGGGGAAUAUUGGACAAUGGGCGAAAGCCUGAUCCAGCCAUGCCGCGUGUGUGAAGAAGGUCUUCGGAUUGUAAAGCACUUUAAGUUGGGAGGAAGGGCAGUAAGUUAAUACCUUCCUGUUUUGACGUUACCAACAGAAUAAGCACCGGCUAACUUCGUG
rnacentral:rRNA from 1 species